GAAACUGCACAAAAAAUGGAGCUGGGGGGUUCCCUGGUCCCCGAUGUUGGGGCGGGGAGCGCGGCGCCGAGGGAGGGGGCGGCGCAGACCAGCCAAGGGGACACCUGGUCGAGCGCAGCCGCCGCUCCGCUCGAGCCCUGCGCUCCAGUGCCCCCAGUGCCCCCACUGGCUGGAGAGCUCGCCCAGACCGGGGGUCUUCCUCCCUCGCUGACAGAUUCUAACUGUUAGAAGAGUACCAAUUCUGGAAAACAACCAAAGUUUCUUUGAAUGAAUGCCCACGUAAUGCAUUGGAAUAUAAUAAGAGAUUAAGGUUUAACAAUGUUAAAAUGAAGAUAUUACUAAAAUGGCCCUCUAAAUAGCCCAACAAUUAUUAUUUUGUAAGUAUUAGUUUUUAGCUCCUUCCUUCAUCAGUUACCCACCACCACUGCUACGAAGACUUGUGUUUGGUAUCUUAUUUCCAUAUAUCUGAUAAUUUUUCUAUUUAUUCUUGAAUAACUUAAAUUGCCCAUUAACUCUAUUCGUGUUUGGUAUUAAUUUAGAACAAGAAUGAUUUCAUUGCCUCAGGAAACUUUACUAGUGUGGAAAGUAUUUUAUAGAAAGACCCUGUUAUCUCCAAGUCUGAAAUCACAAUAUUAAAUCCUUUCUUUAAAGUUUACAAAUAAGCAAGUUUUU
rnacentral:lncRNA from 1 species